rnacentral:rRNA from 1 species
GACGAACGCUGGCGGCGUGCCUAAUACAUGCCAGUAGAACGCUGAAGGAGGAGCUUGCUUCUCUGGAUGAGUUGCGAACGGGUGAGUAACGCGUAGGUAACCUGCCUGGUAGCGGGGGAUAACUAUUGGAAACGAUAGCUAAUACCGCAUAAUAGUAGAUGUUGCAUGACAUUUGCUUAAAAGGUGCAAUUGCAUCACUACCAGAUGGACCUGCGUUGUAUUAGCUAGUUGGUGGGGUAACGGCUCACCAAGGCGGCGAUACAUAGCCGACCUGAGAGGGUGAUCGGCCACACUGGGACUGAGACACGGCCCAGACUCCUACGGGAGGCAGCAGUAGGGAAUCUUCGGAAAUGGACGGAAGUCUGACCGAGCAACGCCGCGUGAGUGAAGAAGGUUUUCGGAUCGUAAAGCUCUGUUGUAAGAGAAGAACGAGUGUGAGAGUGGAAAGUUCACACUGUGACGGUAUCUUACCAGAAAGGGACGGCUAACUACGUG